UCCCGCACAAGCAGCGGAGCGUGUGGUUUAAUUCGAUGCUACACGAAGAACCUUACCUGGGUUUGACAUAGAGGUAGUAGGGAAGCGAAAGCGGACCGACCCUUCGGGGAGCCUCUACAGGUGUUGCAUGGCUGUCGUCAGCUCGUGUCGUGAGAUGUUCGGUUAAGUCCGCUAACGAGCGCAACCCUCGCUGUGUGUUACAAGUGUCACACGGUACUGCCGAUAUUAAGUCGGAGGAAGGUGGGGAUGACGUCAAGUCAGCAUGACCUUUAUAUCCAGGGCUACACACACGCUACAAUGGCCAGUACAAUGGGUUGCCAAGCCGCGAGGCGGAGCCAAUCCUAAAAAGCUGGCCUCAGUUCAGAUUGCAGUCUGCAACUCGACUGCAUGAAGUUGGAGUUGCUAGUAACCGCAGGUCAGCAAUACUGCGGUGAAUACGUCCCCGGGCCUU
rnacentral:rRNA from 1 species